rnacentral:rRNA from 1 species
AUUGAACGCUGGCGGCAUGCUUUACACAUGCAAGUCGAGCGGCAGCGCGGGGGCAACCCUGGCGGCGAGCGGCGAACGGGUGAGUAAUACAUCGGAACGUACCCAGGAGUGGGGGAUAGCCCGGCGAAAGCCGGAUUAAUACCGCAUACGAUCUUAGGAUGGAAGCGGGGGAUCGCAAGACCUCGCGCUUUUGGAGCGGCCGAUGUCCGAUUAGCUAGUUGGUGGGGUAAAGGCCACCAAGGCGACGAUCGGUAGCUGGUCUGAGAGGAUGAUCAGCCACACUGGGACUGAGACACGGCCCAGACUCCUACGGGAGGCAGCAGUGGGGAAUUUUGGACAAUGGGGGGAACCCUGAUCCAGCCAUGCCGCGUGCGGGAAGAAGGCCUGGUGUAACG